rnacentral:rRNA from 1 species
UCAAGUUAUUAAGGGUGCAGGGCGGAUGCCUUGGCACUAGGAGCCGAUGAAGGACGUGAUAAGCUGCGAUAAGCUUCGGGGAGUUGCACGUAAACUUUGAUCCGAAGAUUUCCGAAUGAGGAAACUCACUUAGAGUAAUGUCUAAGUAUCAUUAAGUGAAUACAUAGCUUAAUGAGGGGAACUCAGGGAACUGAAACAUCUAAGUACCUGAAGGAAGAGAAAGAAAUUCGAUUCCGUAAGUAGCGGCGAGCGAACGCGGAUUAGCCCAAACCAAUAAAGUUUUCUUUAUUGGGGUUGCGGACAUAUCAUAACGAAGAGGUAUCGUAAUUGAAGAGGUUUGGAAAGACCCACCACAGAAGGUAAUAGUCCUGUAUGUUAAACGAGAAGACUUCAGAUAUGAUCCAGAGUACCACGGGACACGUGAAACCCUGUGGGAAGCAGGAGGGACCACCCUCCAAGGCUAAAUACUACCUAGUGACCGAUAGCGUAUAGUACCGUGAGGGAAAGGUGAAAAGAACCCCGGGAGGGGAGUGAAAUAGAACCUGAAACCCUGCACUUACAAGCUGUGGAAGCACAUUUCUUGUGUGACCGCGUACUUUUUGUAGAACGGGCCAACGAGUUACGUUAAGUAGCAAGGUUAAGCACUUAAGGUGCGGAGCCGUAGCGAAAGCGAGUUUUAACUGAGCGUUCAGUUACUUGACGUAGACCCGAAACCGGGCGACCUACCCAUGAGCAGGAUGAAGCGAAAGUAAAAUUUCGUGGAGGUCCGAACCCACGAGCGUUGAAAAGCUCGGGGAUGACUUGUGGGUAGCGGUGAAAUUCCAAUCGAGCCCGGAGAUAGCUGGUUCUCCCCGAAAUAGCUUUAGGGCUAGCCUCAAGGUGAGAGAUACGGAGGUAGAGCACUGAAUGUCCUAGGGGGUAUUGCACCUACCGAAGACUAUCAAACUCCGAAUGCCGUCAUCUUAUACUUGGGAGUCAGACUGUGGGUGAUAAGAUUCAUAGUCGAAAGGGCAACAGCCCAGAUCGUCAGCUAAGGUCCCUAAAUGUAAGUUAAGUGGUAAAGGAUGUGGGAUUGCACAGACAACCAGGAUGUUGGCUUAGAAGCAGCCACUCAUUCAAAGAGUGCGUAAUAGCUCACUGGUCGAGUGAUCCUGCGCCGAAGAUUUCCGGGGCUAAAACUUACUACCGAAGCUACGGCAUCAGUAAUGAUGGGUAGGGGAGCUUCCCAUACGGGUUGAAGCAUGACCGUAAGGACAUGUGGACAGUAUGGGAGUGAGAAUGUUGGCAUGAGUAGCGAGAUGUGGGUGGGAAUCCCACAGGCCGUAAACCCAAGGUUUCCAGGGGAAGGUUCGUCCGCCCUGGGUUAGUCGGGACCUAAGCUGAGGCCGAAAGGCGUAGGUGAUGGACAACAGGUUGAUAUUCCUGUACUACCGAUAACCGUUUGAGAGAAGGGAUGACACAGUAGGAUAAGCUAAGCACACUGUUGGUUAUGUGUGCCCAAGCAUUGAGGCAGUCAAAGUAGGCAAAUCCGCUUUGAUAAUGCUGGGAUGUGAUGGGGAGCGAAAUUUAGUAGCGAAGUAGCUGAUUUCACACUGUCAAGAAAAGUCUCUAUCGAGGUUAAAGGUACCCGUACCGCAAACCGACACAGGUGGGUGAGGAGAGUAUCCUAAGGCCAGCGAGAGAACUGUUGUUAAGGAACUCGGCAAAAUGACCCCGUAACUUAGGGAUAAGGGGUGCCACCAUCAGGUGGCCGCAGAGAAUAGGCCCAAGCGACUGUUUACCAAAAACGUAGGUUUCUGCUAAGUCGCAAGACGAUGUAUAGGAGCUGACGCCUGCCCGGUGCUGGAAGGUUAAGGGGAUCUGUUAGAGUAAUCGAAGCAGUGAACUUAAGCCCCAGUAAACGGCGGCCGUAACUAUAACGGUCCUAAGGUAGCGAAAUUCCUUGUCGGGUAAGUUCCGACCCGCACGAAAGGCGUAACGAUUUGGGCACUGUCUCAACAACAG